CUUUUUGGACUUAACUAAUCUUGGGCAAUGGAAACUGACUAUUUACUGGUGCUAUAUUUCAUUCAAGUGAGGAUCACUUCACCACUGGGUGAGGGCGCAGAAUUCUUACUGUCCUCUUACUGUAUGGAUGAGUGAGUACCAGUGUCACAAUUUGUGUCCAUGUCACAUGAACAAGAAGUGCCAGAGAAGCCAGCAUGAGAGUAAGCUAGUUAACUUUCUGCUGUUAAAUUACAGAUAAUUUGUGGAGCUGAUCAUGAAUUUGGACAAAUGGAGAGACUGUUCUUGUAGCUAGGAAAGUGUCCACAUGAGCCAGUCUUUGUAAAACAAUGUCACGGUGGAAACAGAACAAAAAUGAGAGCAAAGAAACAUCAUCAGACCUUGAGAACUUUACCAAGUUCCUAACUAGCCAGAGGCCAACACAAAAAACCAGCAUGGGGUGGAAACUAACAAGCUCCACGGACAGUGUGAUUAAAAAAAACAUAGCUCUUCUGCCACUUCUAGUUACUGUGAAUGGGAAAGGUGCUGUAUUUCUGCCAGAAUGGUGUUCUUGGACCCUGCUUAUGGGCUCUUUUACAUCAGCCUCUGGCUAAAAAGCGUCUUAAAAAAUGUGAAGCUCCAUCCCUCAGCUGCUCUUCUACCCCUCCAAUUUCCUGGUUGCUGUGAGUAGUGAAGCACUGGUCUUUGAUAUCCAAAGUCCUCCCCACCUUCCAGUUUUGGGGUCCUCCUCCAUCCUGAAUAACUCAAGUGCCCGUCUGUGCUGCUUGCCAAUUAACAUGACUCUGGACACUUACACACUGACCCAUAGGCUAUGUUCAUUUCCCUAUGCAGUUUAGGAAAGCUUAAGUAGAAGCAGACACAUUGGAGCAGUCUGUUCUCUGACUUAUGAAGACAGCACUGCACUGGUUAACAUUCAGUUCCACAAGGGUUAGAAUUUAUUUGUAAUGAAAUCUUAAAUUCUGCAGAAAUUGGCUUAUUCACCCCUCCCCCCUGACCCCCAACUCACCAGGGAAAGUUCCCCACUCUCUAUUACUGAGUGGAUUUUUCAAGUCCUGAGCACCAGCACAGUUAAGGCGGUACCAACAACCCUUUACUAUUAUAUUACGAUUAUUAUUUAUUUAUUUGUAUUGUGGCAGCAUCUAGAGGCCCUGGCAUGCAUCACUAUGCUAGGCAUUGUAUUUUCAGGAAAUAGCAGCUUAGUCAAUUUUUAUUAUAUUUAUAUUUGUGGUUAAGUCUCAUGCUUUUUUGCUUGAAGUGUUUUGAGGCAUACUUAAGCACUUUUUAAUAUUGCCUUAUUGCUUCUAUAUAUUAUAGGGUCCUCAAAAUAGCUGGUGAGGUUGUAAGCCAUUUUCUAUACAGUGCUCUACCUAGGUAUUUGGGUUGUAUCAGAGAAUCAGAUUCCGUUGUCAGUUAUAAUGUUGAGAGACAAGGUGGGUGAGGUAAUAUCUUUUAUUGGACCGGCUUCUGUUGGUGAGAGACACACACAUUUGAGCUAACGCUUGUCUCUCUCACCAACAAACGUUGGUCAAAUAAAAGAUAUUACCUCAUCCACCUUGUCUCUCUAAUAUCGUGGGACCAACACAGGUACAACAACACAGUUAUAACACUGUAAAUCAAGAGUCACUCCUUUGAAGUCAUAUCUGACAGAAGUUAUUGGCCCAGAGUGUUUCAAAUUUAGCUGAAUUUUCUUGCUUUUCUGUUUUGUUAGUCCCGGUCUUGUGGUUUCACUUAGGAAGUUCUAUAAACAAUUGUUUAGUACUUAUUGAAUGACAGAAGAAGCCAAACUAUUUUGAAAAGGGAGUACUAGAGAGACUAUGAACUGAUAGAUUCUUCCCCCAAUCACCAGCAGUUCCAAAUACAGUGAUAAACAAUUUGUAGUUUUGCAAUCUCCAGCGGGAGCUGGUGGAUGGAGGAAAUAAUUUCUGACGCAGUCAGAAAUCUACAUAUUCUAAUUACAUUGGCGCGAUUGACAGCAAAAGAGGACUGUCUGCAUUAGUGCACUGUCAAUGUAAUCUCUAACUCAGUAAUUAGGAACUUAUUCUUCAAUUCAACUAUCACAGAUCAAAGACAAUGCUAUGAGUUAAAUAAAAAAACCCUAAAGCACAGGGAAUAAAACGAGCCAUUUGAAUUAUAUAGGCUACUUCAUACACUCUCUGUGCCAAGGACAGCAGAAUCAAGCCCUUAUUAAACUAAGGUUAAACAAUAAUAACACAGUGAUUUUUAAUAUGCAAAAUAUUUCAAAAAGAUUGAAAUACAUAUUUUUAACUACUGAUAAACACUGCAGUGAUUUUAAAAUAAUUUUCUCAAUGCUACCGCGUGGCUACAAUUUUAUAGCUGUGUCAAAAUGUUUCUUGGAACUGUGUAGUAAACACUAAAAGUUUAAAAGAAAGAUUCUGAGUGAAAUCCUGACCCCAUUAAAGUUAAUAGCAAAACUCCCCUCGACUUUAAUGGAGCCAGGAUUUCACGCGCUGUCUCUGAUAGCUCGCUUCUGAAGCCAUUGGGCCUGAUUCUGCCCUCAUUUAUACUGGUGUAAACUUAGGAUAACUUCAUUGAAGUCAGAAGUGUGUAAAACUGGUGAAGGUGAAUCAGCCUCACAGACUUGAAAAGAAACUGUGCUGGAAUAUUAAUAACUUCUAUUCUAUAUUAGAGAAGUGGAAACCCCUUUUAUUUUACAGCUUAAUUACUUGAUGGUUUCUGUUUGGCUUGAUUCCAGUACCCCAGACAAAGAACACAAAUGUUUUUGGUUUUGUGGGUUUUUUUUAAAAUCACAGAGAAGCUGUAAUAUUUUACUGAAGUAGAAUAAAUAAUGUUUCAUGUGGAA